GAUGAACGCUGGCGGCGUGCUUAACACAUGCAAGUCGAACGGAGCACCCAUGAAGGAGUUUUCGGACAACAGAUUGGAAUGCUUAGUGGCGGACGGGUAAGUAACGCGUGAGGAACCUGCCUCGGAGUGGGGAAUAACACAGUGAAAAUUGUGCUAAUACCGCAUGACGCAGUUGAGUCGCAUGGCUCUGACUGCCAAAGAUUUAUCGCUCUGAGAUGGCCUCGCGUCUGAUUAGCUUGUUGGCGGGGUAACGGCCCACCAAGGCGACGAUCAGUAGCCGGACUGAGAGGUUGACCGGCCACAUUGGGACUGAGACACGGCCCAGACUCC
rnacentral:rRNA from 1 species